UGAGGAAUAUUGGUCAAUGGGCGAGAGCCUGAACCAGCCAAGUCGCGUGAAGGAAGACAGUCCUAAGGAUUGUAAACUUCUUUUAUACGGGAAUAACGGGCGAUACGAGUAUUGCAUUGAAUGUACCGUAAGAAUAAGCAUCGGCUAACUCCGUGCCAGCAGCCGCGGUAAUACGGAGGAUGCGAGCGUUAUCCGGAUUUAUUGGGUUUAAAGGGUGCGUAGGUUGUUCGGUAAGUCAGCGGUGAAACCUGAGCGGUCAACGUUCAGCCUGCCGUUGAAACUGCCGGGCUUGAGUUCAGUGGCGGCAGGCGGAAUUCGUGGUGUAGCGGUGAAAUGCAUAGAUAUCACGAGGAACUCCGAUUGCGAAGGCAGCUUGCCAUACUGCGACUGACACUGAAGCACGAAGGCGUGGGUAUCAAACAGG
rnacentral:rRNA from 1 species